rnacentral:lncRNA from 7 species
UCUGCUCCAAAACAAGAAAGAAAGGUCCCGGCUACUCCUGAGGACAAGAAUAUGAAGUAUCUGUUUGAAAGUAAUGUUGAAGGUAAUGCCUCAUCCACAGGUGUGGGGAAAAAAAGGAGUGUACAAAACCAAUGGUGUUACAUUCAACCUUUGAAGAGCAUCAAGGAUAACUCUGAUCUUACAGAGUGUGCUUUUCCCUCUGGGCAUUUUUAAAGGACACAGCUGAGAAAUGACCACAAGUAAGGGAGUGACCAGGAACAGAAAUCUGAUGAAGGGGUUUUACCAGGGGCUUCCUGUGGAGCUCAGCCACUUCCCACACCGCUCGAUUCCUCUCUUGACUGUGUUGCCUUUUAACAGCAGGAGGAAACUGUGAGAUAAUAAUCUGGAAGAACCAGAAGAUCAGUGACAGCCAUGUGUCAAAACCAGGCUGGGCUCAGUAUCUCAGGCACUUCCCAACUGCCAAAGGAGCGCCCUACCAGCAGCCUCCCCCAACCCAACUGAUUUCAAGGGGUCACGUUGGUGCUGAGCCUCCGGAGCCCGCAGAGCUCUCAGGAGUGACAUGGGCUGAGGUGUGUCUCCCCAGGACCCUCUUCCACUUCUCCCACUGCUUUUCCAGUUUAUCUCCAGAGGACAGCAAAGCCGAUGUUAUUGUGAUCCCACUUCCCAUGCCUCCAAUAGUCAAGUACCUUCCAUAUUUGCUUUCAGUAUCAAAGUUCUGCUGAAUGAGGCACCAAUGUUCCUAGUAAGACUGGCAUAAGUGAAUGCCCUGAAUUUACACUGAGUCAUUUUGAGGUGACCAUUGACUGCUCUACUUCUGAAAUGGGGAAGAUGGUUACUGCAGUUACAUUUCAUGCUAAAAUCUAUGGCUUUGCUCAGCUUUCAAACAGAAUGUGGAGAAAAGUGAAAAGGUGCUCUGCUAAAUGUGAGAGGCGUCAGAGCUGUUUUUCCCCGGUGCAGAACUAAAUCUCGUGUUGUUUGCUUUAAGUAAAAUGAGUGGUUAAGAUCUGCAAAAGUGGACAUGUGGAUGGAGGGGUGGGUCCUGCAGAGCUGUCAGAGGUGUGGGACGCAUCAGCUACACGCACAGGACUCACUGCCUCGUCCCAGCUGAGAUGACUGUUUCUGAUCUGAGAUUCAAGGCACUUUUCCCUACAUUUGUGAAAGCAAAUGCCAUCCAAUUCUGCUUUGGAAAUUGCAACUUCUGAUACGCUGCAUUCUAUGGGUCCGACAGAAUGAUGUGCAAAGGAUUGCAGUGUCUCAGGGCAAAGGAAACUCAAGGAACGUGCUCAGAAAUACGACUUUCACAAACACGGGAGCCACCACGUGUCCAUCUGAAUGGCCGGGGACUGGGCCAGAGCUAAUGAGUUUUACAAACGUUUCUUUUAAAUCCUGUUAAAAAUUUAUUGCUUAAUAGGACAGUAAUCCACACGUGCUGUAAUGCUGGUUACUAAUUAAAUCAGGUUGAGUCUUAGAAACACAGAUAAAGCAAGCAGGG